rnacentral:rRNA from 1 species
UACGGGGGGGGGUAAGCGUUGUUCGGAAUUACUGGGCGUAAAGAGCUCGUAGGCGGUCAGUCGCGUCUGCUGUGAAAACUCGGGGCUUAACUCCGGGCCUGCAGUGGGUACGGGCUGACUAGAGUGCGGUAGGGGAGACUGGAAUUCCUGGUGUAGCGGUGAAAUGCGCAGAUAUCAGGAGGAACACCGGUGGCGAAGGCGGGUCUCUGGGCCGUAACUGACGCUGAGGAGCGAAAGCGUGGGGAGCGAACAGG